UACGUAGGGUGCAAGCGUUGUCCGGAAUUAUUGGGCGUAAAGAGCUCGUAGGCGGUCUGUUGCGUCCGCUGUGAAAACUCGGGGCUUAACCCCGAGCCUGCAGUGGAUACGGGCAGACUAGAGGUAGGUAGGGGGAGAAUGGAAUUCCCGGUGUAGCGGUGAAAUGCGCAGAUAUCGGGAGGAACACCGGUGGCGAAGGCGGUUCUCUGGGCCUUACCUGACGCUGAGGAGCGAAGCGUGGGGAGCGAACAGG
rnacentral:rRNA from 1 species